rnacentral:misc_RNA from 1 species
GUUUCUUGAUCAUAGAUUUGUCACCUGUUACAACACCGAUAUAUUAAUGACUAACAUCAGACUUACAUGAUUUUUCUAUGAAGAUAUAUUUCCAUGAAAGCACUCUCUUUCUUUUCUUGAAUAAUCAAGAUGCAACACCAAUAGUGUUUCGUCGAUGAAAUAUAUAUAUAUAUAUAGCCUGAUUAAUCAUCUAAUUUUUUAUAUGUUUGGAGGGUCUUGAAUUCGAGAGAUACGUGAUUCAAGAAAUAUAAACAUUUAAAGGGAAAAAUGAACGUACACAUGCGCUUGAACUUUUCUUU